rnacentral:tRNA from 1 species
GCCCUUAUAGUUCAAUGGAUAGAACAAGGGUUUCCUAAACCCUAGAUGAAGGUUCGAUUCCUUCUGGGGGCACCA